GACGAACGCUGGCGGCGUGCUUAACACAUGCAAGUCGAACGGAAAGGCCCUGCUUUUGUGGGGUGCUCGAGUGGCGAACGGGUGAGUAACACGUGAGUAACCUGCCCUUGACUUUGGGAUAACUUCAGGAAACUGGGGCUAAUACCGGAUAGGAGCUCCUGCUGCAUGGUGGGGGUUGGAAAGUUUCGGCGGUUGGGGAUGGACUCGCGGCUUAUCAGCUUGUUGGUGGGGUAGUGGCUUACCAAGGCUUUGACGGGUAGCCGGCCUGAGAGGGUGACCGGCCACAUUGGGACUGAGAUACGGCCCAGACUCCUACGGGAGGCAGCAGUGGGGAAUAUUGCACAAUGGGCGGAAGCCUGAUGCAGCAACGCCGCGUGCGGGAUGACGACCUUCGGGUUGUAAACCGCUUUCGCCUGUGACGAAGCGUGAGUGACGGUAAUGGGUAAAGAAGCACCGGCUAACUACGUGCCAGCAGCCGCGGUGAUACGUAGGGUGCGAGCGUUGUCCGGAUUUAUUGGGCGUUAAGGGCUCGUAGGUGGUUGAUCGCGUCGGAAGUGUAAUCUUGGGGCUUAACCCUGAGCGUGCUUUCGAUACGGGUUGACUUGAGGAAGGUAGGGGAGAAUGGAAUUCCUGGUGGAGCGGUGGAAUGCGCAGAUAUCAGGAGGAACACCAGUGGCGAAGGCGGUUCUCUGGGCCUUUCCUGACGCUGAGGAGCGAAAGCGUGGGGAGCGAACAGGCUUAGAUACCCUGGUAGUCCACGCUGUAAACGGUGGGUACUAGGUGUGGGGUCCAUUCCACGGGUUCCGUGCCGUAGCUAACGCUUUAAGUACCCCGCCUGGGGAGUACGGCCGCAAGGCUAAAACUCAAAGGAAUUGACGGGGCCCCGCACAAGCGGCGGAGCAUGCGGAUUAAUUCGAUGCAACGCGUAGAACCUUACCUGGGUUUGACAUGGAUCGGGAGCGCUCAGAGAUGGGUGUGCCUCUUUUGGGGUCGGUUCACAGGUGGUGCAUGGCUGUCGUCAGCUCGUGUCGUGAGAUGUUGGGUUAAGUCCCGCAACGAGCGCAACCCUUGUUCACUGUUGCCAGCACGUUAUGGUGGGGACUCAGUGGAGACCGCCGGGGUCAACUCGGAGGAAGGUGGGGAUGACGUCAAGUCAUCAUGCCCCUUAUGUCCAGGGCUUCACGCAUGCUACAAUGGCUGGUACAGAGAGUGGCGAGCCUGUGAGGGUGAGCGAAUCUCGGAAAGCCGGUCUCAGUUCGGAUUGGGGUCUGCAACUCGACCUCAUGAAGUCGGAGUCGCUAGUAAUCGCAGAUCAGCAACGCUGCGGUGAGUACGUUCCCGGGGCU
rnacentral:rRNA from 1 species